rnacentral:rRNA from 1 species
UUUAUAUACCGGUUCUCGUUAGAUCACCGAAGUCAUUGGGCGCGGUCAGUACUUGGGUGGGUGACCACCUGGGAACACCGCGUGCCGUU